rnacentral:lncRNA from 1 species
GGCAUAUUCAAGCCCAGCUUGGGUAAUUUAGCAACUUCGUGAGAAACCCUGUUUCAAAAUAGAAAAAAUCAUCAGCCAGGUGUGGCUUGCAUGGCUGAGGGGAGCGGCCAGGUUAACUCUGGUAAGGCUGGGGUAAGCAUUAGGUGAGGAGCCAGCCGCAGAGCAGCCGCACACUCUCCCUGCAGGCGACGCCUCCUUUCCUUUCCCCAGGCCAGAAGGAAAAUCACCUCUCCCAUCUCUGCCUGCAUUCACUUCCUCCCAGGCCCAUCUCUACUUGGACCUCUGCUGUUAACAACAACUAUUUAGGAAAACGAGAUCUGUUUUCCCACGGUCUUUGUUUCCUGGGCCCAACGACAAAGGCCCAAAACUCCAGCUUCACCAACCGAAAUGACCGUCUCGCGAGUUCCGGGGGCUCCACGUCCAGAGCGUAGGUGUUAAGGGAGCUGACUGGAUCGAUCCCCCCACACGUGCCGAGCAGGGAGCCCCAGGCCCUUCCCACUGAGCCUCACCAGGGCGCCCUACCGCGCAGUUACAGCGCGUACAGUCAGCCACCGGAAUCCUGCCUUCCGGGAGGCAGCCUGGGCAAGUCAGCUACCUUGACCUCCAGCAAGACAGGGUUUCUUUCCCUAGUCUUGUUUCGCAGGCUGGACUUGAAUUUGUGACCC